AGGUGGAGCACGGCGCCCGCUCCCCUCCACGCAGCGGCCGGAGUGGGCACGAGGGCACCUCAACAAUGGUGGAUGAGGUUGUCUCCCCGGACUCGUGGAAGGCGAGUCGUGCCCAUGAAGGAGUGUGAACAGGACGCCUCCUCCACUACGUCAUCGCCGCCGCCGCUAAUGCGAGGCGAAUCGUCGGGACGCGCUCGCCUCGAGCGCGGGCUCCAUCGUUGUGCCGGCGGCUUCGACUCCUCGCGCCGCCGCUGUCCUACAGACGCAUGCGAGCUUGCAGUCUCUCUGAGGUAGUUGGCGAGGAGAUGUGGCUAGACGCCUGGACUAUGAUCCUUCGUCGGUGGGCGGUCUGAUGCCAAAUUUCUAGCAGAUCCUCUCUGCUACUAAUGCUCAUGUGCGUCCAUCCCGGUCGUGAAGUGUGGAUCUUCCUUUCAGUCCCAGGUGAUUCUUUUGAGCUAAGUCGGGAGGGAGGCCCCUACCUUUUUAUGUCAUUAUAAAACAAGAUCGUUCGUCUCUAAGGAGAGCAUGAAUACUUGAUUUGAGUACAAGAAGAAAUAAACAGCUGCAGGGGGGACCGAAGAGGAGAAAGAAGGACAAAGAAAAAGGAAGGGAGAGGGAAAACAAGAAGGCUGAACAAGAACUAGCGUAAUCAGUCAUUGAUUCACCUACGUGCUGAGCAUGUGUCCUCAAUUUUUAGUCCAUGAGCCCACGAUUUAACCGCCUCCAAGCAUUGAUUCACAACUCAACUCAGGUGGGAUGGCCAUGUUGUCAAAGACUUGCCUAUUUCAAGCCAGCCAUAUAGUCCAACGGCAAAUGGUAACCUUUCCAUGCUGUUAUUUUUUGCUUACAAAAUGGAUUGCUCCAGGUGUCAAAGACGUCAGACGUUUCUUAACUGUUUACCCCCAAGAUAUUUGGAUUCUCUUUAGUUUGGUUGAACUGCAAAGCAAAUUGCGCCGUUGUUUCCUAAUCUGCACCGCUGAAGUGACAUGCAUUGUCGGCCAUAAUUAUUUGUUUUUUCAGCAGAACUGAACAAACAUCAGGCCUUUUUCUGACCAACAACCAGCCAAAGAAUUCUCCUUUUCUUGGGUCUCUAGGUGAUUUUUCCUUUGUGGAUUUGUGUUCCCAAUGGAGUCAGUUUUAAUACAUCACAUUUAUAUUCAGAGGAAAUUGGUUACUUACAGUGCUAUGUAUGAAACCCAUAGUGGUACCCUUGUGUGAACCUAUAAUUGCCUUGCAUGUGAAUGUGCAAAUUUGUGCAUUCUGUGUUGAGGAUUUUUUCACCAUGAACGCAUCUAUAUGGACUAAUCUGUAGUUCUACUAUGUGAGUAGGACUGCCUUUGAUUUCA